rnacentral:rRNA from 1 species
AGGUAAUAUAAAUUAUAAAAACCUAUGUAAGAUGGCGGCCUUAUUUCUUAUUAGAGGAACUCGUAUCCUAAUCGAUGGUCCGCGAUAAUUUUCUCUUAUUUUUAAAGUUUUUAUACCGCCGUCUUUCAGAAUCGAAUUAAAAAUUAAUUUUUUUUUAGUUUAAACUUUCACGUCAGGUCAAGGUGAAACCUAUAAAUAAGAAGAGACGAGUUACAAAUAAUUUUUAAUUAAUAAUUCUUCAUAAAAUUGUAGAAUAAACAGGAUUUAAUAGUAAUUUUUUAGUAAUUUUAAUUUAUGAACAUUACAUUAAGGUGU